UACCGAUCCUGUGCAGGUGUUGUUACACGUGGUCUGCCACUGCGAGGACGAUCAGCUGUCCGCCCUGUCUCCCUGUAGUGCUGUCUUAGGCGUCUCACAGUACGGACGUUGCAAUUUAUUGCCCUGGCCACAUCUGCAUUCCUCAUGCCUCCUUGCAGCAUGCCUAAGGCACAUUCACACAGAUAAGCAGGGACCCUGGGCAUCUUUCUUUCUUUUGGUGUUUUUCAGAGUCAGUAGAAAGGCCUCUUUAGUGUCCUAAGUUUUCAUAACUGUGACCUUAAUUGCCUACCGUCUGUAAACUGUUAGUAUCUUAACGACCGUUCCACAGGUGCAUGUUCAUUAAUUGUUUAUGGUUCAUUGAACAAGCAUGGGAAACAGUGUUUAAACCCUUUACAAUUAAGAUCUGUGAAGUUAUUUGGAUUUUUACGAAUUAUCUUUGAAAGACAGGGUCCUGAAAAAGGGACAUUUUUUUUUUUUGCUGAGUUUAAUUCGCUCCUUUUCCUGUCACGCCUGCUCCCGCUCUUCUUCCCUCUGGCGCUCGAGGGCGAAGGAUCUGCUUCUCUUGUCCGGCGUCACUCCUUACAUUUCCUGUACUUACACGCAGAGUUCCCCUACGAGGAGGACUGACCAAGGAGGAGCUGCAUGAAGACAAGAGGGUCUGGGACUAUGAGAGACAACUGGUGGCUAAUGUAGAUAAAGCAUUGGAGAAGGCAGGACUACUGCACAUGUGAAUGGAUUUGCUUCAUGCUGUUACAGCGUGAUACCGACGGAAGUUUAGCACCGCACUUGAACGCUUGCGGACACUGACCCGCUGUGCUGUUUACUUUGUGCCUCUACGUCAUAUUGCUGAGUGUAUCUUUAAGUGUAUUACAAAUGUAAUGAAAGUAUGAAUAGUAUUUUUGAAAUCUAUUUGAUUUCAUCUGUACUUAAAGUAUUAAUAAUAAAUGGAAUUUAUAGAACACCAUUUCUUUGCUCUUUUUAUAGCCCUUUUCAAGGACUCAAAGCCCCUUUACAAUGAGUAGGAUCGACUUUGUACUUUUUAAAGUGUACUUUAAAUUCAUAGCUUAUAAAGUUGUGCUUCAAUAUUCUUAGAAUACAUAUACUACAAUGGCAUGUACUGCCAAUUGUACUUCAGUGUAUUGGAGUUAUCAAAAAUAUACUGGAUUGUCAUGUAAUGAUAUUUGUAAGUAUUUCCAAAAUGUACUCUAUUUUUAUGCGGUGAAAUGUGUACUGAAGUAGCC
rnacentral:lncRNA from 8 species